GAUGUUAGCGGCGGACGGGUGAGUAACACGUGGGUAACCUGCCUGUAAGACUGGGAUAACUCCGGGAAACCGGAGCUAAUACCGGAUAGUUCCUUGAACCGCAUGGUUCAAGGAUGAAAGACGGUUUCGGCUGUCACUUACAGAUGGACCCGCGGCGCAUUAGCUAGUUGGUGGGGUAAUGGCUCACCAAGGCGACGAUGCGUAGCCGACCUGAGAGGGUGAUCGGCCACACUGGGACUGAGACACGGCCCAGACUCCUACGGGAGGCAGCAGUAGGGAAUCUUCCGCAAUGGACGAAAGUCUGACGGAGCAACGCCGCGUGAGUGAUGAAGGUUUUCGGAUCGUAAAGCUCUGUUGUUAGGGAAGAACAAGUGCGAGAGUAACUGCUCGCACCAUGACGGUACCUAACCAGAAAGCCACGGCUAACUACGUGCCAGCAGCCGCGGUAAUACGUAGGUGGCAAGCGUUGUCCGGAAUUAUUGGGCGUAAAGGGCUCGCAGGCGGUUUCUUAAGUCUGAUGUGAAAGCCCCCGGCUCAACCGGGGAGGGUCAUUGGAAACUGGGAAACUUGAGUGCAGAAGAGGAGAGUGGAAUUCCACGUGUAGCGGUGAAAUGCGUAGAGAUGUGGAGGAACACCAGUGGCGAAGGCGACUCUCUGGUCUGUAACUGACGCUGAGGAGCGAAAGCGUGGGGAGCGAACAGGAUUAGAUACCCUGGUAGUCCACGCCGUAAACGAUGAGUGCUAAGUGUUAGGGGGGUUUCCGCCCCUUAGUGCUGCAGCUAACGCAUUAAGCACUCCGCCUGGGGAGUACGGUCGCAAGACUGAAACUCAAAGGAAUUGACGGGGGCCCGCACAAGCGGUGGAGCAUGUGGUUUAAUUCGAAGCAACGCGAAGAACCCUUACCAGGUCUUGACAUCCUCUGACACCCUAGAGAUAGGGCUUUCCCUUCGGGAMAGAGUGACAGGUGGUGCAUGAUUGUCGUCAGCUCGUGUCGUGAGAUGUUGGUUUAGGUCCGCACCGARGCGCAUCCUUGGAUCUUACUGGCCAGCAUUC
rnacentral:rRNA from 1 species